UUCUCCUUAUAUAUAUAUAUAUGUGUUGUACUUGUAAAGUGAAUAAGAAGAAGAAUAAUAAGAGAAAUAAUUUUAUCUCCUUCCUGGUCUCUGUAUCUCUUCUCCUACUCUCUUCUCUCUCAUAUAAUGGGCCUGUUCGGAGCACGACUGCUGCGGCAGCAUCAGCGACAAGGAAAAAACACGUUGACGAAGCUAUAUAUAACAAUGGGGAAAGAUAAAGGUGACGCUGGACUGUUGAAAUUAAUUGCUCAGAUAAGUCGCAACUGCCGCUAAUAUUUCCAGCGACCCAUUUCUUGCCGUUGCGUCAGUUAAUUUUAACUCCGGUUGCAUUACUCUCCACAAUCUUGCGUUCCAAACAACAAAGCUAUAUUGUUUUUUGUGUCGUUGACGCUGCCUGCAGCGUUCAUGCGCUGAACAGGCCCAAUAUAUAUACACAUAUAUAAAACACAUAUUUCACCUCAUAUAUAUAUAGAUAUAUGUUAUAGUUUAUAACAUGUUAUCAGCACGAUCGUCCCACGAUCCGUUUCUAUACCGAAAAUGUGAGGUCUAAAUUAUGUUCGAUCCGUUUAUGUUUAUAUGCUAUGGUCGAGAUGAUAAGCGUUGCCUUCUCCGAACCGAUCAUUAUGAUAGGCUAAGCCUUCACGAUCAUAUGAUAAUAUGGUAGACUAUGUCUUCUCAUAUCAAAUAUAUGGUUGGCUUAUGAUUAUAUGGUAGAUGUCUCCUCAGAUCAUUUUCUCUAUAUAAUAAAUGUCCCGAAGACAUAUAUGAAGAUUCUAGAAGAACCUUUUGUAAAAAAUAUCAAGAAGAAAUUUAAGAAAAAUUCCUUAAAUAGCUAAAUGAAAAGAAUGUCCAAAAGACAUACUUGAAAAAAAAAUGUCCAGAAGACAUAUUUGAAAAAGUUCGAGAAAACCUAUAUGAAAAAAAAAUAUAUCCAAAAGAUAUAUAUGAA
rnacentral:lncRNA from 1 species